CUCUCCAGCCACCUGGCGGCCCGGCAGCGUCAGCCAGGUGCGCGCCCGGCCCCACAUCCUCUGGGUCACGCCCCCGAGGCCGCAAGGCGUCUGAGAAGCAGCCCCGGCUCUGACCCGCCAGCCCUCGGAAGAAGCAGACCCUGGCCGGUCCAUGGCAGUGGCCCGAGGGGCACCAGCGCGGAGCACCAGCGACCCCCAAGGAGUAAGGGGAGGUUAGGCCCCCGCGUCGGAAGCGCGGCUUUGGCCCCGCAGGAGGGCUGGGCGGAGCAGGGGGGCAGGUCUGGGGUAGGGGCUUAGGGGAAAGACGAGAAAGAGGAAGCUCCGACGAGCUGCUUCCUUCUCUCACUGCGACCCACUUCCUCUUCCUACUUCUAUUUUCUUUCUUUUUUUUUUUUUUUUUU
rnacentral:lncRNA from 10 species